rnacentral:rRNA from 1 species
GAUGAACGCUGGCGGCGUGCCUAAUACAUGCAAGUCGAGCGAACAGAUGAGGAGCUUGCUCCUCUGACGUUAGCGGCGGACGGGUGAGUAACACGUGGAUAACCUACCUAUAAGACUGGGAUAACUUCGGGAAACCGGAGCUAAUACCGGAUAAUAUAUUGAACCGCAUGGUUCAAUAGUGAAAGACGGUUUUGCUGUCACUUAUAGAUGGAUCCGCGCCGCAUUAGCUAGUUGGUAAGGUAACGGCUUACCAAGGCAACGAUGCGUAGCCGACCUGAGAGGGUGAUCGGCCACACUGGAACGGGGACACGGUCCAGACUCCUACGGGAGGCAGCAGUAGGGAAUCUUCCGCAAUGGGCGAAAUCCUGACGGAGCACCGCCGCGUGAGUGAUGAAGGUCUUCGGAUCGUAAAACUCUGUUAUUAGGGAAGAACAAAUGUGUAAGUAACUAUGCACGUCUUGACGGUACCUAAUCAGAAAGCCACGGCUAACUACGCG